UACGUAGGGUGCAAGCGUUAAUCGGAGUUACUGGGCGUAAAGCGCACGCAGGCGGUCUUUUAAGUUUGGAGUGACAGUUGGUGGCUUAACUGCCAAAGUGCUUCGAAAACUGAAAGACUUGAGGGCUUCAGAGGGACACGGAAUCCGGGUGGAGUGGUGAAAUGCGCAGAUAUCAGGAGGAACACCGGUGGCGAAGGCGGGUCUCUGGGCCGAUACUGACGCUGAGGAGCGAAAGCGUGGGGAGCGAACAGG
rnacentral:rRNA from 1 species